CCCUAGUUCUGACCGUAAACGAUGCCAACUAGCGAUCCGCCGAUGGAGAUUAUAUUGCCUUGGUGGGGAGCUUCCCGGAAACGAAAGUCUUCCGGUUCCGGGGGAAGUAUGGUUGCAAAGCUGAAACUUAAAGGAAUUGACGGAAGGGCACCACCAGGAGUGGAGCCUGCGGCUUAAUUUGACUCAACACGGGGAAACUCACCCGGCCCGGACACUGUGAGGAUUGACAGAUUGAUAGCUUUUUCAUGAUUCAGUGGAUGGUGGUGCAUGGCCGUUCUUAGUUCGUGGAGUGAUUUGUCUGGUUUAUUCCGAUAACGAGCGAGACUCUAACCUACUAAAUAGCUGAUACAUAUUUUUUGUGUAUUCGGCUUCUUAGAGGGAUUUGCGGUGUUCAGCCGAAAGAAAUUGAGCAAUAACAGGUCUGUGAUGCCCUUAGAUGUCCGGGGCUGCACGCGCGCUACACUGGCAAAAUCAACGUGCUUGUCCUGCCCCGAAAGGGGUGGGUAAACCAUUGAAAAUUUGCCGUGAUUGGGAUCGGAAAUUGCAAUUAUUUUCCGUGAACGAGGAAUUCCAAGUAAGUGCGAGUCAUCAGCUCGCGUUGAUUAC
rnacentral:rRNA from 1 species